rnacentral:tRNA from 1 species
CGGCGCGUAGCUCAAUUUGGUAGAGCGGCGGUGUUACAGACCGCAUGUUGGGGGUUCAAGUCCCUCCGGGCCGA